GUAUGUGUAGUGAAGUGGUAACACAAGGCUCUGCAAAAGCCCAAUCGCAGGUUCGAAUCCUGCCACGUACU
rnacentral:tRNA from 1 species